UUAUUAAAAUGUCUGAUCAUUUACUGUGUGCUAGGUAUCCUGCUAAACACUUCACAUUUUUUUUCGUUUAAUCCUUCUAUUAAUACUAUGAGGUUGGCACUCUUUUUCAGUUAAGGAAACUGAGGCUGAGAAUGGAUAAAUAUUUGCCUGAGGCCCCGGAAAAUGUUGGCCCACUUCUACUGUGUAUUUAUCUUACUUUUUCUUCAUGCAUAUUCUUUUCUAACUACAGGCCCAUUAUUUGCUAAGCUGAAUAAGAGCAUUUUAAAUUAAAAUAAAUUCAGUUGUUUUCUCGGCAUAUACAUUUGCAGCGAUUCACAAACUUCAAUCUUCAUCUACUGAGGAGAAAGAGUUCUUUAUUCUUAUAAACUAUAAUUAUAAGCAUUCAAUAUUUUCAGAGGAAGAAAAUGUAUCUGUUUAUACUAAGUAUUUAAAAAUCACCUACGGAUUUGCUCUAAUUGUCAGUUUCUCCAAAAUUAUUAUUGUUUCUUAAUCUCUUAACAAGUAAUUAUAAAUAGAUGUGUUGUUAUGAAAAAUAAGAAAGAUAUUCGGUGUUUCCUGUAUUUCAUAAACACCACGUCAUUUUCUUUAUCAAAAUUUCCAUUGAAAGAUUGUAAGAGCAUUAGGCCACCUUCUGGGCUUAAGUGUGUAUGAGAAGAAGCCACAACUUCUUUUCCCUCUGGAUCACCUCAGGUCUUACUUUACAAUGUUACAAAUCCACACGAGAUUAAUAUUCAAAUCCGUGAACAUAUCUUUGUUUUCAUUUGUGGUAAAGGAUCUUUUAUUGUAGGUGCUGCUUAAUGCUGAAUAGGCUUGAAAAAGAUGUAUCUUCAAGUACAGGUGUAAACAACAUGUGAUUUCAUUAAGAUAGACGUAGCUAUAUUGCAAUGAUGGCAGUUUGGUCAGUUUCAUAGGUCAACAAACAUCUGUCAGGGUAAGACCUCAUGCUCUGAAUAUGCAGGCAGUCUUAUAAUUCUGACUAUACAUAUGUUUAUUUUUUGUAACUUAAGCAAAAUUUUUUUUAGAGCCAGGCACUGUGGCUCACGCCUGUAAUCCCAGCACUUUGGGAGGCCGAGGCAGGUGGAUCACGAGGUUAGGAGAUCGAGACCAUCCUGGCUAACAUGGUGAAACCCCAUCUCUACUAAAAACACAAAAAAUUAGCCGGGCAUGGUGGCAGGUGCCUGUAGUCCCAGCUACUCGGGAGGCUGAGGCAGGAGAAUGGCAUGAAACCGGGAGGCAGAGGUUACAGUGAGCUGAGAUUGCGCCACUGCACUCCAGCCUGGGCAACAGAGUGAGACUCCGUCUCAAAAAAUAAAAAAUAAUAAAAAUAAAUAAAUAAAUAAAAAUUUUUUUAGAAACAGGGUCUCACUCUAUUGCCCAGGAUGGAGCAGCAGAGUGAGACCCUGGAGUGCAGUGACACAAUCAUAGCUCACUGCAGCCUCAACCUCCUGGUCUCAAGCAAUCCUCCCACCUAAGCCUCCCAAGUAGCUGGGACUACAGGCGCAUGCCACCAUGCCAGGUGUUUUAACUUGGCUUAUAAACUCUAUCAGAUCUGUUAUUACAGAGAACUGAAGUAAUCCAAAAGAAAAGUAUUCGGAGACUUUGAGUAGAUUCUCAAAACAACAGACACCCAAAUGCUGAAACAUUGACGCCCUCGCUACAGUCAGUACAGGAAAAUGUGAAUAUUAUCCUGGAUGCCAUCAUAGUGAUACAAGUUGCAAAGGUGAGAGCUUGUAUUUGUCAAAGUGUAGAAGUGGUUCUUCUUACAUCAUAAAACAUGGAUGCUAACAUCUAGAUGACUUACCUUAAAAUCCCAUUUUUUUCUCUUUUGAUCAUAAUAAUGCAUUUUGUGGUACAAAUAAGAGAGGCUAUUUUCUUUGCCAAAAUAGCUUGAGAGUGAUCAGAGCCGAGAUAUGGAAACUAUGGAAUACCUCAUAUUUCUUCUCCUGAAAGCUGAUUACCCAGAUAUCCAAAUUCAUUAUUCUGUAGUUUAUUCUCAGUGUAUUUUCCUAAGAUUUGGAAAUUAGACAAGUUCAUACAUGGGGCCCAGAGUUUCAAGCACUUCCUGUAUUAACAGUAGAUUACAAAGAUAGCAUGAAAAAUCGGAAAAGAAUUGAAGAUGCCAACUAACGCACCUAAAAAUCAAUUUCAUGAACUUGUCAUGUUGAAAAGUCAAAUAGAAAAUAAUUUAUGUGUGAUAUCAGUACCAUCUUUUCCUUUUUUUCUUAAAACAAAAAUUUCCCUUUUAUUUAAAGAAAAGAGAAAAAUAAGAGAAAAUAAAGUAUAUGAAGAAUCACACUCAGAAAUUGCUUCUUCCUGUCGUGCCUCAGGGAUGUGAAGCAAAAAAAUAACAGGCAUAUUGAUCAUAAAGCUGACAGGUUAUUGGUGACUCUAAGAGAUCUAUUGUCCCAUCCCCAACUAGCAGCAAAAGUUCUGAUGACAUGUGAAUUGAUAUGAAAUCAGGUUUCAUAGUGAUUUCAAAGAAGGUUUUCAGUUUAGUUCAGGGCUGAAGGAAAUGUCUGUUUCUUUGGAGAGGAAAGAUGAUGUGACAUAGUGAUUGAGUCUUGAACCAGGGGCCAGAGUACGUGGGUUCUUCCCUCAAUCUCACCUCUUGGGUUCUUUGUGACUUGCUAUCUCUGAUCUUCCAUUCUUUCCUUCUUAAAGAAUAGUGCGUGCCAUGCCUGCAUCAAAAGAGUCUUGCGAGGAAGAUCCAGUGAGGAAAUGUGUAUAAUUGCCUAAUAAUAUAUAAACAGUACUGUGCAAGUAGAAGGUGUCAUUAAUAACAUCAGAAUGCCUUUGCGAUUACAAAUGUGGGUGACACUGUGUGCAUGAGUACUGCAGGAUGUGGCGUCCAAUCACAUGGUGGCCCUCCCCGGUGACUCAAGAAAGGAUGCACAUCUCAGCACUGAAGGAGACCUGAUUUUUCUAAAGUGAAGAAGUAAAAAUGAUGCCAGAGACCAAACUGCAGUAUAACAUUAUUCAUGGGGGAGUCUGUAUCACAGGACAUUUAAAGGGAGAAAACUUACGUAUAAAAAAAGAAAAUGUGCUUUCAACUAGAACAGCAAGAAAAAUGAUUUUUUUUAAUUCCAGUAAAAAUUUAAGCCAAAACGAAACAAGAGAAACUUCAGGAGUCUACCAAUCCUAGUUGUAAUCCUUUUGAAAAACAGGAAAACUUGAGAACAAGAGAACAAACAAGGUAGAACAAAGUUGUUUUUACUGGUCUAACAUCCUCUGUAGUAUUAAUUAGAUACAUGAAACACCCAGAAGGAGAACUAAGUGAGAGAAAGAGAAGGAAAGGCAAAUUUAAAGGAUGUGACUCCUGUUCUGUGGAGCAGACUCGCUUUAGCAUCCUCUUCUGUUUAUUAAAUAUUGUGUGCAAAUGUCUGGGGUGCCAGCUACGUUAUGGAGUUCUUGGAGAUAUGUUCUACAGUGAUCUUUCAGAUAAAAGCCCUUCUUUUUUAGAUGAGAAGUUUAACUGAGUUAACUAAGUUUUAAUCAAUUAAUUUAAUCUUGUCCUACUUGGACUAGAAUUUAGAUGAUGUCCUGAUUUCUCAUCUUUUUGCCACCUUUCAUGGUUUUUCACAUUUAUAAGAUAAGAUCAUUUAAUUAUGGGACAGUGAUUUCAACUCAUUUUUGGAUUCGUCUAGCCAUCUACACUCAAAAUCGUAGUGUGGCACAUACCUCUAAUAUUCAUAUAUAAGCCCAAAUUAACUAUAUCGUAAUAAUUUUGUUAUAUCCCUUGAGAUACAAUAUACAAAAGCAAGAGAUAGAAUUUAUGGUUGUAUUUGCCCAUGUGAAGUUACUGAAGUUUGAACAAUAAAUAGCUAACAAAAAUAAAUUUAAAAGAAUUUCAGAUAAUUAAACUCAACAUUAUUUUAAGGAGCUACAGUGGCAGGGAUUCCAGGCCAAAUCACAUUGUAAAGAUAGAUAGAUAGAUAGAUAGAUAGAUAGAUAGAUAGAUAGAUAGAUAGACAGACAGACAGACAGACAGACAGACAGACAGACAGACUGAUUUGGGGGGAAGUGGGAGCAAUUUGUCAGAACGUAAAAGAGAACUAUUUGAAUUCUGUCAAAUCAUUUUACCUGGGGAACACUUAGAUGUUGGAGGAUUACCUUUUCCUUUGGCUUCAAGAGAAAAUAGGCAGUGUUUUCAGCAAACAUCAUGAUUUUUGAUCUCUCAAAGCCUUUGUAUUGAGAAUACAGAUGAUAUAUUUGUCUCUAUUUUGUACUCGGAUCUGGAAUUUCCUAGAAUGUUACCUACAAAAGAUUUAGAUAUAAAUAUCUUGAAGAACUUUCAGCACAAAUGUCAAAAUUUUUUCUUUGUCACCUGUUUACCAAUUACAG
rnacentral:lncRNA from 1 species